rnacentral:lncRNA from 1 species
ACGGCUGGCCACAAACAGGAUUACAUAUGCCAGGUUUUUUUAUUAGUGCACUCUGUGAGUGCAGUAGUGCAAGUACAGCUCUCCAUCCAUCAUAACCGACCUUAGCUUGCAUUCAAAGGUGCUAGCACCAAAUCCAUAGCUCCAUGAUUAAGAGAUUUGUAGGGAGCACCAUACACUCGUUGGAUUAGAAUACAUGUAUCCAGCAGACACACACACACACACACACACACAGCACACACACACAUAAACACAUAAACACAUGUGUCUAGGUGCAUGUACAUGCACAAACAUUUGGACAUGCACAUACCAUGUGUAUGUGUAUGUCGCCGACCUAUUGCAGCGGCUUGCAAUUGUUUUCUCGAGGAGGUCUUGGACAUCACAGACUGGGUACAUCACACGCAGGCGCAUUGAGCCCAGGGGAGCGGGAGAUCCUCUAGAGGAUCUCAAGAUCCAUGCUGAGCACCACCGUAAUGGCUUCUGACCAUCCAUGGGCCCCCUUGGCUCCCAGAGGUGGUCCCCAUCCUUGUGCUCACUUUUAUGUAUAUGUUACAUUCUGGACAACAUUGAAGUCCAAGGGGGGGAGUUGUAAAAGUUUAUCAUUGUGAUAGAGGAUUGGUGGUUGUGAUGUCGCAGGCUCAAUUCCCACUCAGCACAUUAUGAUGACACUUCANAUCCAUGGGAUGAACCUUGCUGUCAUUGAAUCCAAGCCAAAACAGAGUACAACUUGUACAGUACAAGACAUGUGCCAGAGCAUAUCUGAAGUGGGCUCCAGGAAAGAAGGGAUGG